CAUUGACGCCGCGUGUGUGAAGAAGGCCUGCGGGUUGUAAAGCACUUUUAGUGGGGAGGAAAACCCGACCCAACACGUCGGGAAUUGACUUAACCCAAAGAAAAAGCACCGGCUAACUCUGUGCCAGCAGCCGCGGUAAUACAGAGGGUGCAAGCGUUAAUCGGAAUUACUGGGCGUAAAGCGUGCGUAGACGGUUUAUUAAGUCGGAUGCGAAAUCCCCGGGCUCAACCUGGGAAUUGCAUUCGAGACUGAUCAGCUAGGGUACGGAAGAGGGAAGCGGAAUUUCCGGUGUAGCGGUGAAAUGCGUAGAUAUCGGAAGGAACAUCAGUGGCGAAAGCGGCUUCCUGGUCCAGUACCGACGUUCAGGCACGAAAGCGUGGGGAGCAAACAGGAUUAGAUACCCUGGUAGUCCACGCCCUAAACGAUGUCAACUGGUUGUUGGGAAGGUUCCUUCUCAGUAACGUAGCUAACGCGUGAAGUUGACCGCCUGGGGAGUACGGNCGCAAGGUUGAAACUCAAAUGAAUUGACGGUGACCCGCACAAGCGGUGGAGCAUGUGGUUUAAUCGAAGAUACGCGCAGAAG
rnacentral:rRNA from 1 species